ACGUUGGUAGGGCAACGGUUCAGCACGCGCUACCGGAAACAGUGAAAUCUGGGGUUCGAGUCCCAGCUGACGCA